rnacentral:other from 2 species
AGUCCCCUGCGGUGUUCGGGAAGGCUUAAAUUCUCUGAACCAAUAGAUGUUAAAAGGCUGCCAGCUGAUUGCGCGUGGGCGAGUCGUGCCGCUAGCCGGUGCGCCCGAAAUGCGCUGCCGGUGGCCACCUGAACCUCAGGUUCGGGAUGACAAGUCUAAUCGGCACCUGCGGGGGCUAC